UUGCCCAAAAAUCCCUACGAACUGCAAUGGACUCAGAAAACGAAUAUGAAGAAAAGUAAUGUAGUGUCGAGUGGGAAUGGAAUUUGUACUCCAAGUGCAAAUUCAAUCCAUUUUGAAGCGAUUUCCGAACGAUUUCAAACGUUCAGAGGAGCGUGCCCUAAUGGCACUCAAGCGCAGAUUCAAUCCAUUUUUACGAAUAACUGUCCAGAUUCAAUUCACAACGUGCCCUAAUGGCACUCAAAUUACAAUGGCCGUUGCAAAAAGCAGAUCGUGUUACCGUUGGAAAAAGCAGGAUUUCAAUUCUUUUAAAAGGAGACUGGAGAUAUACUAGAGAAGCAGAGCAGAUUAUAUUGUUCUUUCAUUUUUUUUGGUUUUCUUUUUAACUUCAAUAUCUUUUUGGCGUGGCCACGCCUCUGAGUCUUGCUUUCCUGAGUUUGUAAUUUUUACUUUUUAUACUCAGAUGUUUUCAUUUGCAGUCUGGGUUUGAAUUGCAGUUUUAUGUUUUGGUAUUUUGUGUAUUUCUUUUCUGUGGGGCGUCAUUUUUGAUGGGCAUGGAGGUAGGCAGCGGCAAGAAUUCUACGUUCUGGAGUGGCUGAUUGGAGUUAUGGACAGAAAAUGGGUAGAGCCGUAGGUGAUUGACUCUGCCUGACCAUUUUAACAGUAGUAGAAUAAACCUCACCCCACCAAUACGUUCACCAUAUCUUGGUCACCAUGUUGUCGAGUUGCAUGUAUACAAGUUCUGACAGAUGAGUUUUGCACCGAUCUCUUAUUUUACAAAUAGUUUGGUUAACUUAUCUAUGUUCUGCAUUUUGCAUGCAUGGUUACCAAACAUUUGUAAUACCAUAGAAAAUCAUUCAGAAAUUUAGAUAUUAUUGGUAUUUCCAGGGUGAGUUUUCCCUCACUUAGAUAAUAUUUUGAAAAAUUUUGGAUAUUAC